rnacentral:rRNA from 1 species
AACGUAGGUCACAAGCGUUGUCCGGAAUUACUGGGUGUAAAGGGAGCGCAGGCGGGAAGGCAAGUUGGAAGUGAAAUCUAUGGGCUCAACCCAUAAACUGCUUUCAAAACUGUUUUUCUUGAGUAGUGCAGAGGUAGGCGGAAUUCCCGGUGUAGCGGUGGAAUGCGUAGAUAUCGGGAGGAACACCAGUGGCGAAGGCGGCCUACUGGGCACCAACUGACGCUGAGGCUCGAAAGUGUGGGUAGCAAACAGG